AGAUUGUGUUGAGGGCAAUUUCUGAGCAGUCCCUUGUAUCUCUCCCAAGCUUCAUCUAAGGACUCAUGAUUUUCUUGUUGAAAGUUAGCAAUAUUAUUCUUCAAUCU